rnacentral:lncRNA from 1 species
UAGAAAAUACACAGGGAAAUACUAGUUUUAUUCUUCAAUUCAAGUAUAUAAAAACCAAAGAACUGUGUUGCUUUGUCAUCAUAAAAUUUGUUUCCUUCUCAGUAAAGAGGUCACCUUAAUCUUAAAAUGUUCCAGUGUUCUGGUGUGGAGCUUGUCUUUUUUGCUAUUUUUCCAUUUGUACUAAUUGACAUUUUAUAUAAGACAGUUUCAAAAAAACUGGAAGAAUUUACUGUCAUUUUUCAUGCCUCAUUUGUGCGCACUAUUUGUCACCUUUAAUUGCUUUUCAGGUAACUAGCUUACACUGCUAAAGUUGUAAGUAAGCCUUAGCGCUUGGUGUAAAACAUUAAGCAUUCCACCUCUGUACUGCGCAGGCUGUAGCUGAUCAUAAACUCUAGAAACACUUCGGGAUUCUCUUCUGGGGAAUAUGAUUAUUCUUCACAACGAAGGUAGAUCUGGUAAUUGUUCCUCUUUCUGUGGUUGUACCUAUUAAAAUGAAAAAGCUGAGGCUGGUCUGUGUACUUGCCAAACCUUGUGAAGAAGAUGUGAUUCACAACUCCAAGAGCCAGUUCCCUGCAGGGUCAAGUGCUGCUCUCAAGUGAGAGGCUCAACUUGAGCAACACCGCAGUUGUCAACGGCCAUGGCACGUGCAAACAGCAACACCAGCGGCUGCUCCAUGUUUCAGAGCAUACAGAGCACAGAAGCAGCAAGGAGAUUGAUGCCUUUCUAGUUCCUAAGGGCUUGCGUGAAUCAAUUAUUCCUGGUUGUGAUCAAUCUCUGUAGGAAGUGACAUGUUUACAAUUCCUCUUCUGUCAGGCUCUUUAUCCAGGUUCACAUGGAAAAGGGGUUUGUUCUUUCAUGCUGUUGCUCGAACUCUGCUUUUGAGAAGCCAGCACCUUUCUGUGACUAAACCCAUAGUCUGAAUUUUGCUGUUUGGUUUAUAUUUGCAAUGGUGUAGCCCCUAGCAAGUCAGAUGGCAUCUGCACCACACACUGGGUCUGAGUUCAGUAGCUGGAAUGCCCACUUCUGCUUGGGGCUGUGUAUCUCUUGGCAGAUCCUAAUUUUUGUUUGGUUUUGUUGGUUGGUUGUGGGGGUUUUUUUUUUGGUUUUUUACUUAAUAUCGAGGGAGGUUCCCCUCCCCAUUCCAGGGCUGCUCAGAGGUUUUGAAAUUGUGAAUUUCAGGCAAAGCAAAA